ACUCUCCAGAAUACUCUCCCUCUUCUCCUCAAUACUUUCCCUCUUCUCCCAACUCUCCAGAAUACUUUUCCUCUUCUCCCAACUCUCCAGAAUACUUUCCCUCUUCUCCCCAAUACUCUCCCUCUUCCCCAACCUCUCCACAAUACUCUCCCUCUUCCCCUUCUACUUCUCACUGUCCCUAUUCCCCAAACUCUCCACAGUACUCUCCCUCUUCCCCUUCUACUUCUCACUGUCCCUCUUCCCCUCCUUCUCCCCAGUACUCUCUUUCUCCUAACUCUUCAGAAUACUCUCCCUCUUUUCCCCAAUACUCUACCUCUUCCCCCAACUCUCCAGAAUACUCUCCCUCUUCUCCCCAAUACUUUCCCUAUUUUCCCCAAUACUCUCCCUCUUCCCCCAACUCUCCAAAAUACUCUCCCUCUUCUCCCCAAUACUUUCCCUCUUCUCCCCAAUACUCUCCCUCUUCCCCAACUCUCCAGAAUACUCUCCCUCUUUUCUCCAAUACUCUCC
rnacentral:lncRNA from 1 species